UGCCGCGACGCCCACUCAUCUCCACAGCAUUCGCCCACGAUCACAGGAUUCGGCGUGGUGACCACACCACAUCCACGGCGGCAGCCUGCCCCUCCUCAAAUGCGUCACUGGAGGAUGGUGAACUCCCUCCUGCCCCUCCCCUCCCGAAAGAUGGUGGUGGCCGGCGCCGUUUCCUCCAUCUAUUCAAUAUCGUGCACUUCGUCCCCAACCUCGCGCCAACAGAGAAAAGAUCUUGGGGUUGCUGUGCAUGAGAGUAUCUCGUGGGUACUGAGGCAAACUUCGCAAAAAGGCUCUGUCGAAGGGGGAGAGUGCAACUAGCCUUAAUAUUGGAAUACCAGCAAUCCUCCUCUGUCACCUCAGGUACUAUGUCUAAUCGAGUAACAGCGUGGACGGCCAGAACUAAUCCCUCCUCCACAACAGCGUGAUAUCCCACCCCUCCGGUGGCCAGGACCCAAACCCCAGGAAAAAAAACUAGGAUACUGUACUUUUUCAGACGGAGCUUGCUUAGGAUACCAAUAUCAAACACUACAGAGUGGCUUGCAUACAAUUCUUCAGUCGUGCAGCUACUAUGAGCUGGGCAUGGACACCACUUGUCUUAUGCCACGCCAUGCAAAAGCGGGAUGGAUGUUUAUACAACUUACUCAAUCUGAUGAUCAGAAUCCCUUAUUCAGAUUCCAAUAGCAAGCUGGUAGUCUAUUAUCCACUGAAGUUAGUGACCCGGGCAGGUGGGCAGAUCCUUUAUCCAUGAGCAGUUGGGCAGAUCUUUGUCCACUCCACUCUCAGUUUGUUAUUGUCCUUCUGUGUGAGGUUAUAUAUGUUGCGACAGUUACUAAUUUGAGCCAUGUGUAUAUGGAAUUUAUUUUGAGGGGUCCUGUGUUUGACUUGAAACAUUAAAUUAUGUCUCCGAUAAGCCUCCUCAGUAAGACAGAAGGCUCCCAACCGAUGAAACAAACCAUACUUGGCCAGGUUACCUUGAAGGUCAGCCUCGUCAUAUUUGAUCAUGACAGCCAUGCCAAGUUUCAUGGAGGUGUGAUCAUAAAGCGGAUAGAUGGGAGAAGCCCUAUUGCUACCGGACUGAGGACAAACACGUGUACCACGAUGCACACGAUGCGUUGUACAAAGGAUGCCUGACAGAAGUCCGAGGCAUGGUGUACCUGCCGCGAGGAGAUCGACAACGGCAUUCCAACCAUAAGCCGCCGACAAGGGCAUGUAGUAUCUAUCUCCCCACCUCUUAUUGCUUGAUUAUUGCUUGAUUACUUCAUGGAGAAAAUGUGUACACUAUUCUGGGGCUGACAACCAGCACA